AUUGAACGCUGGCGGCAUGCCUUACACAUGCAAGUCGAACGGCAGCACGGGAGCAAUCCUGGUGGCGAGUGGCGAACGGGUGAGUAAUAUAUCGGAACGUGCCCAGUCGUGGGGGAUAACGCAGCGAAAGCUGUGCUAAUACCGCAUACGAUCUACGGAUGAAAGCGGGGGAUCGCAAGACCUCGCGCGAUUGGAGCGGCCGAUAUCAGAUUAGCUAGUUGGUGAGGUAAAGGCUCACCAAGGCGACGAUCUGUAGCUGGUCUGAGAGGACGACCAGCCACACUGGAACUGAGACACGGUCCAGACUCCUACGGGAGGCAGCAGUGGGGAAUUUUGGACAAUGGGCGCAAGCCUGAUCCAGCAAUGCCGCGUGCAGGAUGAAGGCCUUCGGGUUGUAAACUGCUUUUGUACGGAACGAAACGGCGAGCUUUAAUACAGUUUGCUAAUGACGGUACCGUAAGAAUAAGCACCGGCUAACUACGUGCCAGCAGCCGCCGCAGUAA
rnacentral:rRNA from 1 species